CAACCUGCCCUUUACUCCGGGAUAGUCUCCUGAAAGGGAGUUUAAUACCGGAUGUGUUUGUCUUUCCGCAUGGGAGCGACAAAUAAAGAUUAAUUGGUAAAGGAUGGGGAUGCGUCCCAUUAGCUUGUUGGCGGGGUAACGGCCCACCAAGGCGACGAUGGGUAGGGGUUCUGAGAGGAAGGUCCCCCACAUUGGAACUGAGACACGGUCCAAACUCCUACGGGAGGCAGCAGUGAGGAAUAUUGGUCAAUGGGCGGGAGCCUGAACCAGCCAAGUAGCGUGAAGGACGACGGCCCUACGGGUUGUAAACUUCUUUUAUAAGGGAAUAAAGUUCGCCACGUGUGGUGUUUUGUAUGUACCUUAUGAAUAAGCAUCGGCUAAUUCCGUGCCAGCAGCCGCGGUAAUACGGAAGAUGCGAGCGUUAUCCGGAUUUAUUGGGUUUAAAGGGAGCGUAGGCGGGCUUUUAAGUCAGCGGUCAAAUGUCGUGGCUCAACCAUGUCAAGCCGUUGAAACUGUAAGCCUUGAGUCUGCACAGGGCACAUGGAAUUCGUGGUGUAGCGGUGAAAUGCUUAGAUAUCACGAANAACUCCGAUUG
rnacentral:rRNA from 1 species